rnacentral:lncRNA from 1 species
GUCAAAUCUCUUUCUUUUAUUUCCAUGAGGUUUCAGCAAUAUCCAAUUGGUGCAUUUGGGGGAGCUAUAGGACAGAUGCAAUCAGGUUUCUUCCUGGAAUGAUGGAAAUUUGUAUCUCUGAAUGCCAAACUGAUCAUGCACAGGGAGAGGAAAUGGCCUGAUCUACUGUGUUUCUACCAAGGGACUAAGAUAUUUUGUCAUGAAAACUCCAAGACUUCAACAGUUUACAUUUAAAGUAAGUAUUUUUUUCCUUUUAAGCUCUCAGCAUAUUAAACAGCCACCAAAA